UUUUCUCCUAGAAAACAACAGCUGCAGCAGUAAUUGCAUGAAAUAGUACAAUUCUUUUCACCAAUUCAUUAAAAGUUACCUGGCAAAGGGAUUCCUAGAUAAGUGAUAAAUCAUUUGGGUCUAUUAAUCUACUACAGUGUAUGUAUAUUGCUUGUCUCACUACAGGAGAUUAUCUCAUGCAGACUGAUAAGAUCUGGCACAUGCUUUAUAUUUAGAAACUCAUAACAAGAGAUCAACCAAUGAAAAUAAAGUCAGGGAACUACUUCUGGGGGCUGUACAUGUACCACAAAAAGUAAUCCAUAGUUUUUUCUGUUUUAUAUCAGAGUAAUCUUCAAAAUUUAUGAGUAUGUGAUUGAAUGGAAUAAAAUCUUCCUCUAGUGCAAAAAUAUUUUAACAUCAUAGAUGUAUCAUUACCUUCAUUAGCUCACUGUAAAUGGCACAUUUGCCCAAGAAUAUCAAAAUUUCAAAUCUACACAGGAAGUUCUUUGACAGAGAGCAGAAUAGAGUAAAUAUUUGGGAGAGUGUUUCCCUAAAUAUUUUACUAUGUGCAUCUUAUUUCAUCUUGGAAGUUAACAGUAAUUAACAGAAUGCACCAGGUAUAGCAUCAUAUGUGUAUAUAAAGUAUCAGCACACAUGAAUGAACUGAGACAUGUUUAGUGACCCAAUGUAUUGUGUUCAAAGGCUCCAUCCAACAGUUCAAAGACAUGUCAUUGCAGUGGAGCAAAUGAUGGCUUUGUGGUGGUUAGUGAAAAACUGUGGCAAUCUACAUUGGUGGUGGCAAACACUGACAGAAAAUUUCUGGACCAGCAGUGACAUUAAGUUGAAAAUAAUGACAUAUUUUACGCUGUACUGAAGAUGUAACUGCGAAAAUUAUUCAAGAAAUAAUAUAUCUCAUUCAGUGAUUUGUCGCUGAAUAAAUCAUUGUUUGGAGUUCAGAUGCGAAGGAAUUAUAUCACAAGGGCGCAACAUUACUGAAAGGAUUUUCUUCAAACUUUCACAAGUGAACAAUCUUGACGGGUAGAUACAACUACAGUUACAUUGCAUCCAAAAUCAGUGGCACAGAAACCGGUAGGGGACUAUGUAUUGCCUUGCAAUACUUCAGCACCUUGUUUUAUAUGUGUAACCUGUAAAUGAUUAUUGGUGUGUUUUAUAAAGUUAAGAAGUCCUGGAUGAAAUUUUUAGUUUUUAAUUUUAGCCUCACCUAUGGACAUGCACUGCUUAGGGGAGCUCAUUUGUGAUCAUCCUUUGUCCAAGACCGUGAAUCAAACCUACAACCUACUGUACACAGCAUUUUCAUUUAGGAUAUAAUCAUAUGGGGUAUAGCUUUUUGCUAUUUCAGGGCCCUUAGAACUAGGCUGGAAUAUUUUCCAGGUUAUACCAGGCUCAUUUUCCAGCAUUCCCUGGAAAAUUUACCAUGGUAAAACCUGGAACAUUUUCCAGCCUAAUCCAGGCUAUGCUGGAAAAUGUUCCAGGCUUUUCCAGACUUUGGUUAAAAAAUGGUCCGAAUACUCCAGGUUCAUGGAAAAACAGGAAUUUUAUUCCUGGCAGCCUGGAAGAUGUUCCAGAUUUUACCAUGGUAUAUUUUCCAGGGAUGCUGGUAUAUCAUGGUAUAUAUUCCAGCCUUGGCUUUUUCAAAUUUUCCGCAUUGAUAAUUUGGUUAGGCUGGAAAAGGCUGGAAACUUAGUCCGAAUACUCCAGGCUUUUCCUUUCCAUGGAAUUCCAUGGUAAACCCUGGAACUAUUUCACCC